AACGAACGCUGGCGGCGGGCUUAACACAUGCAAGUCGAACGCCCCGCAAGGGGAGUGGCAGACGGGUGAGUAACGCGUGGGAAUCUACCCAGUUCUACGGAACAACUGAGGGAAACUUCAGCUAAUACCGUAUACGCCCUACGGGGGAAAGAUUUAUCGGAAUUGGAUGAGCCCGCGUUGGAUUAGCUAGUUGGUGAGGUAACGGCUCACCAAGGCGACGAUCCAUAGCUGGUCUGAGAGGAUGAUCAGCCACACUGGGACUGAGACACGGCCCAGACUCCUACGGGAGGCAGCAGUGGGGAAUAUUGGACAAUGGGCGCAAGCCUGAUCCAGCCAUGCCGCGUGAGUGAUGAAGGCCUAGGGUUGUAAAGCUCUUUCAGUGGGGACGAUAAUGACGGUACCCACAGAAGAAGCCCCGGCUAACUUCGUGCCAGCCGCCGCGGUAAGAC
rnacentral:rRNA from 1 species